rnacentral:rRNA from 1 species
AUUGAACGCUGGCGGAAUGCUUUACACAUGCAAGUCGAGCGGCAGCGCGGGGCAACCUGGCGGCGAGCGGCGAACGGGUGAGUAAUGCAUCGGAACAUGUCCAUGUCGUGGGGGAUAGCCCGGCGAAAGCCGGAUUAAUACCGCAUACGCCCGAGAGGGGAAAGUGGGGGACCGCAAGGCCUCACGCGAUUGGGUUGGCCGAUGUCCGAUUAGCUAGUUGGCGGGGUAAGAGCCCACCAAGGCGAUGAUCGGUAGCUGGUCUGAGAGGAUGAUCAGCCACACUGGGACUGAGACACGGCCCAGACUCCUACGGGAGGCAGCAGUGGGAAUUUUGGACAAUGGGGGCAACCCUGAUCCAGCCAUUCCGCGUGAGUGAAGAAGGCCU